AUGGAUGCGGUCCCUCCUUGGAUAUUUCUCCCUUACAAUGAGACGAUCCUGGUCAGGGAUGAUGUGGUCGGUGGUCCCCGUGUCCGCGAACCAGGCGGGAUUGCCAAGGAUGGACGGGGGAGAAGCAGCAGCAAGUCCCGCCAUCUUGGAGUGUUGAGGCCGAAAGGCAUGGUUGUAACCGCACUCCCAGAUAAGAUGCCCAGGGCCGCAAUAGGGCUGGCAUUAGACACGGUUGUCACCGCCGCCAAAGUGAUCACCGUGGUCAUUGUCGGUGUCAAAACCGGCGGAUCUCGGGUAGAGGGUCUCGAACUAUGCGUCUAG
rnacentral:rRNA from 1 species